GACUCUGUGGCGCAAUGGUAGCACGUCUGACUCCAGAUCAGAAGGUUUCGUGUUCGAAUCACGUCAGGGUCA
rnacentral:tRNA from 1 species